rnacentral:rRNA from 1 species
UGGGGAAUAUUGGACAAUGGGGGCAACCCUGAUCCAGCAAUGCCGCGUGAGUGAAGAAGGCCUUAGGGUUGUAAAACUCUUUCACCCGUGAAGAUAAUGACUGUACCCGGUAAAGAAGUCCCGGCUAACUCCGUGCCAGCAGCCGCGGUAAUACGGAGGGGACUAGCGUUGUUCGGAAUUACUGGGCGUAAAGCGCGCGUAGGCGGGCUGGUCAGUCAGGGGUGAAAUCCCGGGGCUCAACCCCGGAACUGCCUUUGAUACUGCCAGCCUUGAGUUCUGGAGAGGUGAGUGGAAUUCCGAGUGUAGAGGUGAAAUUCGUAGAUAUUCGGAGGAACACCAGUGGCGAAGGCGGCUCACUGGCCAGAUACUGACGCUGAGGUGCGAAAGCGUGGGGAGCAAACAGGAUUAGAUACCCCCGUAGUCC